rnacentral:rRNA from 1 species
GACGUAGGGCGCGAGCGUUGUCCGGAUUUAUUGGGCGUAAAGAGCUCGUAGGCGGCUUGUCGCGUCGAAUGUGAAAUCUCAGGGCUCAACUCUGACAUUGCAUUCGAUACGGGCAGGCUAGAGUUCGGUAGGGGAGACUGGAAUUCCUGGUGUAGCGGUGAAAUGCGCAGAUAUCUGGAGGAACACCGGUGGCGAAGGCGGCAUCCUGGACCAAUACUGACGCUGAGGAGCGAAAGCCAGGGGAGCAAACGGG